CACACGGCUGGAAACACAAAGAGCUUCAUUAGUUCACAUGCAACGCUCGCAAAACAUUAUCAUUACAAGAGAAACCAAUACAGUCUGGUUACUUUUGAAUUUGCAUUGAGAGGUUUUUGAAGUGUAACAUUUUCUGUAUUUAAUGAACUCACUCUUCCCUGAGGUCCACUCCAGCACCUGAGUGGGAUCCUCCAGCUGAUACACAUGGAGGUCUUUGUACCUACAACAAGACUGCUUCAGUGGUUGAUCCAACCGGAAACAGCGCCGCCUGCUGGACGGAAGCUACCGGAUUCAUUUAUAUAUUUAUUGUUUAAAGAGGGAAUUGUUUUACCUUUUAACAGUUUUCUACAUUAAAUGUUCAACUACCAGAGGAUUAUUAUUACGGGAAUAGUGUAUUAAAGAGCACAGGUACUAAAAUACAAAUACAUACAUGAAGUACCAAAAUGUUUUAUGUAGAAUAAUGUCUGAAUAUUAUUACUUUAAUGAUGAAGGAAAAGUGGAGCUCAAUUUAAUUAAUUCAUAGGCUGCCAGAUAACUUGAUCUUACUUAGUAUAUCAGAAUGAACUGUUUAGUUCAUUUUGCAUUAAUACAAAUCUGUAAAAAGUUACUAAAUAUUACAAGUAGAAUAUUAAUAUUAAAUACGAUCAAAUAUAAAAAGCAGCUGAAAAAUAUAGUGAAAUAAUAUGAACAGAACUUAAUAUUAUGAUUCAUAGCAUCAUCCUUCCUGCAGAGCUCCAUGUCCUUUUCCUCCUCCUCCGGUUGUCCUGCUCCUCCUGCUGUCUGAGAGGAGCGAUGUUGAGUCACUCUUCCUCAGAGAGACGACAGCUGCUUGAUUUGUAACAUAUCUGUUAAGGUUUUAUGUGUUAUUGAGUCAAUUGUUUACAGAUAAUAAACAGAAAAUAUAAAAUG